rnacentral:rRNA from 1 species
UACGUAGGGUGCGAGCGUUAAUCGGAAUUACUGGGCGUAAAGCGUGCGCAGGCGGUUUUGUAAGCCAGAUGUGAAAUCCCCGGGCUUAACCUGGGAAUGGCAUUUGGGACUGCAAGGCUUGAGUGCGGCAGAGGAGACUGGAAUUCCUGGUGUAGCAGUGAAAUGCGUAGAUAUCAGGAGGAACACCGAUGGCGAAGGCAGUGUUCUGGGCCAGUACUGACGCUGAGGAGCGAAAGCGUGGGGAGCAAACAGG